rnacentral:rRNA from 1 species
GACGUAGGGCGCGAGCGUUGUCCGGAUUUAUUGGGCGUAAAGAGCUCGUAGGCGGCUCGUCGCGUCGACCGUGAAAACCCGCGGCUUAACCGCGGGCUUGCGGUUGAUACGGGCAUCACUGGAGUUCGGCAGGGGAGACUGGAAUUCCUGGUGUAGCGGUGAAAUGCGCAGAUAUCAGGAGGAACACCGGUGGCGAAGGCGGAUCUCUGGGCCGUAACUGACGCUGAGGAGCGAAAGCAUGGGGAGCGAACAGG